rnacentral:rRNA from 1 species
AAAGCUGGGAGCAAACAGGAUAGAUACCUUGGUAGUCCACGCCUAAACGAUGUCUACUAGUGUCGGUCUUAAUUGACUUGGUAACGCAGCUAACGCGUGAAGUAGACCGCUGGGGAGUACGGUCGCAAGAUUAAAACUCAAAGGAAUUGACGGGGACCCGCACAAGCGGUGGAUGAUGUGGAUUAAUUCGAUGCAACGCGAAAAACCUUACCUACCCUUGACAUGGCUGGAAUCCUUGAGAGAUCAGGGAGUGCUCGAAAGAGAACCAGUACACAGGUGCUGCAUGGCUGUCGUCAGCUCGUGUCGUGAGAUGUUGGGUUAAGUCCCGCAACGAGCGCAACCCUUGUCAUUAGUUGCUACGAAAGGGCACUCUAAUGAGACUGCCGGUGACAAACCGGAGGAAGGUGGGGAUGACGUCAAGUCCUCAUGGCCCUUAUGGGUAGGGCUUCACACGUCAUACAAUGGUACAUACAGAGCGCCGCCAACCCGCGAGGGGGAGCUAAUCGCAGAAAGUGUAUCGUAGUCCGGAUUGUAGUCUGCAACUCGACUGCAUGAAGUUGGAAUCGCUAGUAAUCGCGGAUCAGCAUGUCGCGGUGAAUACGUUCCCGGGUCUUGUACACACCGCCCGUCACACCAUGGGAGCGGGUUUUACCAGAAGUAGGUAGCUUAACCGUAAGGAGGGCGCUUAACCACGGUAGGAUUCGUGA